AGAGUUUGAUCAUGGCUCAGGAUGAACGUUGGCGGUGUGCCUAAUACAUGCAAGUCGAACGGAGUUAAUAGCAAUAUUGACUUAGUGGCGAACGGGUGAGUAACGCGUUGGUGAUCUGCCUCGAAGUGUGGAAUAACGUUCCGAAAGGAACGCUAAUACCGCAUGUGCUCUCAAUUUUUAGAAACUUGAGAGUAAAGGAUUUAUUCGCUUCGAGAGGAGCCUGCGUCCCAUCAGCUGGUUGGUAGGGUAACGGCCUACCAAGGCUAUGACGGGUAGGGGACCUGAGAGGGUGGCCCCCCACAAUGGAACUGAAACACGGUCCAUACACCUACGGGUGGCAGCAGUAGGGAAUAUUAGAAAUGGACGAAAGUCUGACCUAGCAACACCGCGUGUGCGAAGAAGGCCUUCGGGUCGUAAAGCACUUUUUGGAAGGAAUAGGAAGGAAUGUACUUCCAGAAUAAGUCUCGGCUAACUACGUGCCAGCAGCCGCGGUAACACGUAGGAGGCAAACGUUAUCCGGAUUUACUGGGCGUAAAGCGCGUGUAGGUGGUACUGUAAGUAGGGCGUGAAAGCUCCCGGCUCAACUGGGAGAGGCCGUUCUAAACUGCAGAACUAGAGGAUGGUAGAGGGAGGUGGAAUUCCAGGUGUAGCGGUGGAGUGCGCAGAUAUCUGGAGGAACACCAGUGGCGAAGGCGGCCUCCUGGACCAUUCCUGACACUCAGACGCGAAAGCUAGGGUAGCAAACGGGAUUAGAGACUCCGGUAGUCCUAGCCCUAAACGAUGUAGACUAGGCGUCGGUGGUUUAAUCACCAUCGGUGUCCAAGCUAACGCGAUAAGUCUACCGCCUGGGGACUACGGCCGCAAGGUUAAAACUCAAAUGAAUUGACGG
rnacentral:rRNA from 1 species